GGCGGAGUGGUAUAGUGGUUAACAAACCCGACCGGAUAUUGGGAGACCCUGAGUUCAAAUCCCGGCUCCGCCA
rnacentral:tRNA from 2 species